GGAACAUUGACUCCUCCACUACUAUAGACGUUAGUAAUGGGACAUGGGUUAGGGACAUUGACUCCUCCACUGCUAUAGACGUUAGUAAUGGGACAUGGGUUAGGGCAGUGGAGAAGUCAGUGGUCCUAACUCAUGUCCCAUUACCAAUCUGUAUAGCAGGGGUUCCAAAAUGUUUUGCUUUGCGACCCACCAAUUACGGUGUCUGUUGAGUCGUAACCCACCUUAAGGGUUGAUCAGUGAAAAAGCAGUCCCGACCCACAGUUUGGGAACCACUGCUCUAUAGAAUAUAGAAUGGUCCACUGUGUUAAGACGUUGACCUUUCACCCUUGUGACCUCUCCUCUGUGUUAACUCCAAAGGCAGCGACAAAAACUACCACCAGUGGCUAUUCACAGUAAAGAAAGGGGGCGGUGCUAUCUUUAACACAGUGAGGACCAAGGCUAACCCGGCCAUGAAAACUGUCUAUAAGUUUGCUAAAGAUCAUGCCAGGAUGGGGAUAAAGGAAGUCAAGAGCCGACUAAAACAAAAGGAGCUGGCAGAGAAUGGCUACUCCUCGACAGUGGGCACUGGUGGCACAGGAACGGGCACCGGGGAGGAGGGCACCACUGCCGGG